rnacentral:tRNA from 1 species
CCCUGGGUGGUGCAAAUGGUUAACAUGCUGGGCUGCUAACUGAGAGGGUGGAGGUUCGAAUCCACCCACAGGUG